CCUACGGGAGGCAGCAGUGGGGAAUAUUGCACAAUGGGCGGAAGCCUGAUGCAGCGACGCCGCGUGAGGGAUGAAGGCCUUCGGGUUGUAAACCUCUUUCAGCAGGGACGAAGCGUGAGUGACGGUACCUGCAGAAGAAGCACCGGCUAACUACGUGCCAGCAGCCGCGGUAAUACGUAGGGUGCGAGCGUUGUCCGGAAUUACUGGGCGUAAAGAGUUCGUAGGCGGUUUGUCGCGUCGUUUGUGAAAACCCGGGGCUCAACUUCGGGCUUGCAGGCGAUACGGGCAGACUUGAGUGUUUCAGGGGAGACUGGAAUUCCUGGUGUAGCGGUGAAAUGCGCAGAUAUCAGGAGGAACACCGGUGGCGAAGGCGGGUCUCUGGGAAACAACUGACGCUGAGGAACGAAAGCGUGGGUAGCAAACAGGAUUAGAUACCCCGGUAGUCCACGCCGUAAACGGUGGGCGCUAGGUGUGGGUUCCUUCCACGGGAUCUGUGCCGUAGCUAACGCAUUAAGCGCCCGCCUGGGGAGUACGGCCGCAAGGCUAAAACGUCAAAUGAAUUGACGG
rnacentral:rRNA from 1 species